GUCAGAUCCCCCGGAACUGGACUUACAGGCCACUGUGAGCUGCCUGACAUGGUGCUUGAAUCUGAACUCAGGUCCUCUUGAAGAGUGUUAUGUGUGGUUAGCAGUAGUGCUUUCUUCAACUGCCCACUUUUGGAGAGGAGGGGUUUGUGGAGAAAGAAAGAAACCUCAACACAGUUGAACACACAGAACUCAAAUUAAAGUACCUGAAUGUCUAUGUCCUGUUUGUGCUGUGUUGUGAAGUGGAGAUGAUGAACUAAACCAAAUCUGCAGUCAUGCAGACCAGCCAACACAUCUCACAUGCAUCAGAUAAAUUCUAUACAUGAGCAUACUUUCUCGGACUUCCCUAUCAAUGGAGAGAUGCAGCAUCCCCCACUGCUUACAGCUAGAACACUGCAGGACUUACCAAAGGAUGACUUUAUCAGGAGAUGAUUGCCAGAAACAUCUGAGUUACAGGGGUGAAAACUGCUAGCCUCAGAAGAACACACCUGGGCCGUUCUCUACGUGGGGCCACGACAUGCUGAGAGAGUUUGGAAGUUCUGCAUUUCCAAGAAGAGACCCAUACUUUUAGAAGAUCCAGUAAGGAUUCUCUUGCGGGGGGGAGAAUUAUAUUUAUUUAGUGUGUGUGUGCAUGCCUGUGGAGGUCAGAUGACAACUUGCAGGAGCUGGUGCUCUCCUCCCACUGUGUGGGUUCCAUGGAUUGAACUCAGCUCAUUAGACCGGCCGGCAAGUGCCUUCAGUCACUGAACCAUCUAUCCAGCCCAGAGAGAGGAGCUUUUAGGAAUCCACAAAAAGAGGAGACCCUUCCUCAUUGACUUGGGGUUAGCUUCACAGC